GUGUGUGUAGUAUAAAUUAAUACAAUGGCCCUUCACCCCAUAAAUUUGAUACCUUUCAACACGCACA
rnacentral:tRNA from 1 species